rnacentral:rRNA from 1 species
GAUGAACGCUGGCGGCGUGCCUAAUACAUGCAAGUCGAGCGAAUGGAUUAAGAGCUUGCUCUUAUGAAGUUAGCGGCGGACGGGUGAGUAACACGUGGGUAACCUGCCCAUAAGACUGGGAUAACUCCGGGAAACCGGGGCUAAUACCGGAUAAUAUUUUGAACUGCAUGGUUCAAAAUUGAAAGGCGGCUUCGGCUGUCACUUAUGGACGGACCCGCGUCGCAUUAGCUAGUUGGUGAGGUAACGGCUCACCAAGGCAACGAUGCGUAGCCGACCUGAGAGGGUGGUCGGCCACACUGGGACUGAGACACGGCCCAGACUCCUACGGGAGGCAGCAGUAGGGAAUCUUCCGCAAUGGACGAAAGUCUGACGGAGCAACGCCGCGUGAGUGAUGAAGGCUUUCGGGUCGUAAAACUCUGUUGUUAGGGAAGAACAAGUGCUAGUUGAAUAAGCUGGCACCUUGACGGUACCUAACCAGAAAGCCACGGCUAACUACGUGUCAGCAGCCGCCGUAA